UACGAAGGGGGCGAGCGUUGUUCGGAAUCACUGGGCGUAAAGGGCGCGUAGGCGGCCCUUCUUGUCGCGUGUGAAAGCCCCCGGCUCAACCGGGGAGAGUCGUCGGGGACCGCACCGCUUGAGGGCGGUAGGGGCUGGUGGAAUGCCUGGUGUAGUGGUGAAAUGCGUAGAGAUCAGGCAGAACACCUGGGGCGAAGGCGGCCAGCUGGGCCGUCCCUGACGCUGAGGCGCGAAGGCGUGGGGAGCGAACGGG
rnacentral:rRNA from 1 species